AACCGUCUUUUAUCUGUAUUCCAGACAAUUUGCGGACAGCUUCAAAGAUCACCCACAGGUUUUCUUUCCAAGCCAUACAAAAUGGUACCUUUUCAGUGGACAGCUUCUUCUUCUUAAGUGGUCUUCUGGUAAGCUACAUUGGACUUAGACGAAUGGGCAAGAACAAUGGAAGACUUCCUCUACUUCACUUCUAUUUACAUCGAUAUUGGAGGUUAACUCCAACCUACAUGUUUUGUAUACUUUUUUUAUCAAGCCUGUCCAAACAUGUUGGCGAGGGACCAUUGUGGUACAAUAUUCAACUGUAUAAUAWAUGCAACACCAAAUGGUGGACAAAUUUGUUAUACAUAAACAAUUUCUAUCCUGGA